UACGGGGGGAGCAAGCGUUGUUCGGAUUUACUGGGCGUAAAGGGCGCGUAGGCGGCCUUCUAAGUCGGACGUGAAAUCCCUCGGCUUAACCGAGGAACUGCGUCCGAUACUGAAAGGCUUGAAUCCGGGAGAGGGAUGUGGAAUUCCAGGUGUAGCGGUGAAAUGCGUAGAUAUCUGGAGGAACACCGGUGGCGAAGGCGGCAUCCUGGACCGGCAUUGACGCUGAGGCGCGAAAGCUAGGGGAGCAAACGGGG
rnacentral:rRNA from 1 species